rnacentral:rRNA from 1 species
GACGAACGCUGGCGGCGUGCUUAACACAUGCAAGUCGAACGGAAAGGCCCUGCUUUUGUGGGGUGCUCGAGUGGCGAACGGGUGAGUAACACGUGAGUAACCUGCCCUUGACUUUGGGAUAACUUCAGGAAACUGGGGCUAAUACCGGAUAGGAGCUCCUGCUGCAUGGUGGGGGUUGGAAAGUUUCGGCGGUUGGGGAUGGACUCGCGGCUUAUCAGCUUGUCGGUGGGGUAGUGGCUUACCAAGGCUUUGACGGGUAGCCGGCCUGAGAGGGUGACCGGCCACAUUGGGACUGAGAUACGGCCCAGACUCCUACGGGAGGCAGCAGUGGGGAAUAUUGCACAAUGGGCGGAAGCCUGAUGCAGCAACGCCGCGUGCGGGAUGACGGCCUUCGGGUUGUAAACCGCUUUCGCCUGUGACGAAGCGUGAGUGACGGUAAUGGGUAAAGAAGCACCGGCUAACUACGUG